rnacentral:lncRNA from 1 species
GCCUUGUUGCCCAGGCUGGUCUGGAACUCCUGAGCUCAAAUGAUCCACCCACCUCAGCUUCCCAAAGUGCUGCGAUUACAGGUGUGAUCAACCGAACCCGGCAGCUUCCAGUUUUCUACUCCACCAUCCCCAGGGUUGAACCCUCAUCCUCAUGCUCCAAAAUGGAGCUUCAGCGAUCUCAUCUAUGUUCUAGGGAAACAGGAUGGAGGAAGGAAGGAUGAAGGCAUAAAAGCAUCUAUUUCCCAGCUAAAAACUGAGGGUCCUGAUGAGGAGAAAACAGAUAAUAGGUAAGGCAAUCAGAAAUUGUCAACAUCAGGACACAGUCCCUGCCCUCUAGGCAGAAAAGGUAAGAGAAUACUGUGAGUAUAUAACAAAGGAAUCUAAUUCACACUAUGCAAAGUUUUCCAGAAAUGGGGGUGCCUGAACUGAAUUUUU